rnacentral:rRNA from 1 species
CAGUAGCCGCGGGAAUACGAAGGGUGCAAGCGUUACUCGGAAUUACUGGGCGUAAAGCGUGCGUAGGUGGUGGUUUAAGUCCGUUGUGAAAGCCCUUGGCUCAACCUGGGAAUUGCAGUGGAUACUGGGUCACUAGAGUGUGGUAGAGGAUAGUGGAAUUUCCGGUGUAGCAGUGAAAUGCGUAGAGAUCGGAAGGAACAUCUGUGGCGAAGGCGACUAUCUGGGCCAACACUGACACUGAGGCACGAAAGCGUGGGGAGCAAACAGGAUUAGAUACCCCGGUAGUCCCUGUCUCUUAUAC